rnacentral:rRNA from 1 species
GAGUUUGAUCGUGGCUCAGAUUGAACGCUGGCGGCGUGCCUAACACAUGCAAGUCGAGCGGUAACAGGUGUAGCAAUACAUGCUGACGAGCGGCGGACGGGUGAGUAACGCUUGGGAAGUCUGCCUGAUAGUGGGGGGACGAAACCCGGGGAAACGUACGGGCUAAUACCGCAUACGCACUACGGUGGAAAGCCGGGGACCGCAAGGCCUGGCGCUAACAGAUGAGCCCAAGUCGGAUUAGCUAGUUGGUAGGGGUAAUGGCCUACCAAGGCGACGAUCCGUAGCUGGUCUGAGAGGAUGAUCAGCCACACUGGGACUGAGACACGGCCCAGACUCCUACGGGAGGCAGCAGUGGGGAAUUUUGGACAAUGGGGGGCAACCCUGAUCCAGCCAUGCCGCGUGAGUGAAGAAGGCCUUCGGUU